rnacentral:rRNA from 1 species
CAGCAGCCGCGGUAACACGGAGGGGGCUAGCGUUGUUCGGAAUUACUGGGCGUAAAGCGCACGUAGGCGGCUUUGCAAGUCAGAGGUGAAAGCCCGGGGCUCAACCCCGGAAUUGCCUUUGAGACUGCAGGGCUAGCAGGUGAGAGAGGUGAGUGGAAUUCCGAGUGUAGAGGUGAAAUUCGUAGAUAUUCGGAAGAACACCAGUGGCGAAGGCGGCUCACUGGCUCAUACUGGACGCUGAGGUGCGAAAGCGUGGGGAGCAAACAGGAUUAGAUACCCGCGUAGUCCCUGUCUCUUAUAC